GGCGACGUAGCCAAGUGGUAAGGCAGAGGUCUGCAAAACCUCCAUUCACCGGUUCGAAUCCGGUCGUCGCCUCCA
rnacentral:tRNA from 2 species